rnacentral:rRNA from 1 species
UACGUAGGGUGCAAGCGUUGUCCGGAAUUAUUGGGCGUAAAGAGCUCGUAGGCGGUCUGUCGCGUCGGCUGUGAAAUCCCGGGGCUCAACCCCGGGCCUGCAGUCGAUACGGGCAGACUAGAGUGCGGUAGGGGAGACUGGAAUUCUCGGUGUAGCGGUGAAUGCGUAGAUAUCGAGAGGAACACCUGCGGCGAAGGCGGGUUGCUGGGCUGACACUGACGCUGAUGUGCGAAAGCUAGGGGAGCGAACGGG